UACAGAGGUCUCAAGCGUUGUUCGGAUUCAUUGGGCGUAAAGGGUGUGUAGGUGGCGCGCUAAGUCGGGUGUGAAAUUUCGGAGCUUAACUCCGAAACUGCAUUCGAUACUGGCGUGCUUGAGGACUGGAGAGGAGACUGGAAUUCCUGGUGUAGCGGUGGAAUGCGCAGAUAUCAGGAGGAACACCGGUGGCGAAGGCGGGUCUCUGGGCCAUUACUGACGCUGAGGAGCGAAAGCGUGGGGAGCGAACAGG
rnacentral:rRNA from 1 species